GGGAACAUAGCUCAGAUGGUAGAGCCCUCACUUGGCAUGCCAGAGGUACGGGGAUCGAUACCCUGUGCCUCCA